CGCUAUCAUCUCCCUAGUUCCUGAACCCUUCUUAUCUAACAACAUUCAGUCACUCUUGGCAUGGAGGAGAUCCAGCAUCCAGUGAUCCAAGGUGCCCUUGGAGAGCUUCAAAGAACUGAGCCCUAAGAGCUAGGGUGGCUAUGACCACAGCUCGCUGAAGCCCCGAGCCAGGAACUAGACUUUGAGAAGUUAAUCUGGAUGUCAAAUGUACUGAUGUUCCGGACAGACGUGGCCUCCUAAAAUUCACAUGCUGAAGCCUAAUGCCCAAUGAGACUGUACUUGGAGACACAGUCUAUCAGGAGAUUAUUAAGGUUAAUAGAGGUCAUGAAGACAGGGUCCUAAGCUAGGAUCACUGUGUUUAUAAGAAGAGGAAGAGAUGCCAGGAGUCUGUCUGCUUUGGCAGGCUUGUAACACCUAGUGAGAAGCAAGUCAGGAAGAGAAGCCUCACCAGAAACUAACUCUGUGGGUACUUUGAAUUUUUAGCCUCCAUAACUGUGACAAAAUAAUUUCUAUGUUUAAGCCACACUGUCUGUGACAUUUUGUUAUGGAGGCCCUAGCAGACUAAUACAGAUGUAUAGUACUAAUAUACUGUUUAGAUUACUAAUUUUUAUAAAAUUAUAAAUAUAAAUGUGUAUAUGGUUAUGUAUAACUAGCCAGACACACGAAUAUAUCAACACAUAUACCCUCACACAUGCCCUCCCUCAUACAUGCAAAUACACAAACUAUGGUAACUGGAUAAGAAUUGGUAGCUACUCAUAGUAGCUCCUAUUCACUUGCUCAUUCUCUGAUUAAUUGAAUAUUAAAAAUAUAUUUAUUAAGGCUAUCACCACUUAGACUUUGUGCUCUCUGUAACAGAGGAUAUGUUCCUAUCAGUUGUUGUUGUUCUUCAGUCGCCUACUCAUGUCUGACUCUUUGCAACC